UAUUGGAAUAGUGGCAAACGGGUGAGUAACACGUAAGUAACCUGCCCCUAAGUGGGGAACAACCCCGGGAAACUGGGGCUAAUACCGCAUGUACCGGCGGGGGUAAUGCCCUGUCAGCAAAGCCGUAAGGCGCUUGGGGAGGGGCUUGCGGCCGAUUAGCUAGUUGGUGAGGUAACGGCCCACCAAGGCGAUGAUCGGUAGCUGGUUCGAGAGGACGACCAGCCACACUGGGACUGAGACACGGCCCAGACUCCUACGGGAGGCAGCAGCAGGGAAUAUUGCGCAAUGGGCGAAAGCCUGACGCAGCGACACCGCGUGGGGGAUGAAGGCCUUCGGGUCGUAAACCUCUUUUCCUAGGGACGAAUAAUGACGGUACCUGGGGAAUAAGCAUCUGCUAACUACGUGCCAGCAGCAGCGGUAAUACGUAGGAUGCGAGCGUUAUCCGGAUUUACUGGGCGUACGGUGCGCGUAGGCGGCUUGACAAGUCGGUUGUGAAAUCUUCUGGCUUAACUAGGAGGGGACAUUCGAUACUGUUAGGCUUGAGUGCAGCAGAGGAAGAUGGAAUUCCCGGUGUAGUGGUGAAAUGCGUAGAUAUCGGGAGGAACACCAGUGGCGAAGGCGGUCUUCUGGGCUGUUACUGACGCUGAGGCGCGAAAGCGUGGGGAGCGAACAGGAUUAGAUACCCUGGUAGUCCACGCCCUAAACUAUGGGUGCUGGGUAUGGGGAGUAUCGACCCUCUCCGUGCCGAAGCUAACGCGUUAAGCACCCCGCCUGGGGAGUACGGUCGCAAGACUAAAACCCAAAGGAAUUGACGGGGGCCCGCACAAGCAGCGGAGCGUGUGGUUUAAUUCGAUCCAACACGAAGAACCUCACCAGGGAUUGACAUGCUUGAAGUAGUGAACCGAAAGGGGAACGACCUGUUGAGUCAGGAGCUUGCACAGGUGCUGCAUGGUUGUCGUCAGCUCGUGCCGUGAGGUGUUGGGUUAAGUCCCGUAACGAGCGCAACCCUCGUUGCCAGUUGUUUUCUCUGGCGAGACUGCCCCGCAAAACGGGGAGGAAGGUGGGGAUGACGUCAAAUCAGCACGGCCCUUAUGCCCUGGGCCACACACACGCUACAAUGGGUGGUACAGAAGGUUGCAAUGGAGUGAUCCGGAGCUAAUCCUAAAAACCAUCCUAAGUUCAGAUUGCAGGCUGAAACCCGCCUGCAUGAAGCCGGAGUUGCUAGUAACCGCAGGUCAGCAUACUGCGGUGAAUACGUUCUCGGGCCUC
rnacentral:rRNA from 1 species